AGAACGAACGCUGGCGGCGCGUUUAAGCAUGCAAGUCGAGCGGCAAGGGCCUUCGGGCCCCUAGAGCGGCGGACGGGUGAGUAACACGUGGACAAUCUGCCCCCCGGCCCGGGAUAGCCCAGGGAAACCUGGAUUAAUACCGGAUGAGACGGGACCCGCGAUGGCGGGACCCGGGAAAGGCGCUGCGGCGCCGCCGGGGGAUGAGUCUGCGUCCCAUUAGCUAGACGGCGGGGUAACGGCCCACCGUGGCGACGAUGGGUAGCCGGCCUGAGAGGGUGGACGGCCACAUUGGAACUGAGACACGGCCCAAACUCCUACGGGAGGCAGCAGUAGGGAAUCUUCCGCAAUGGACGAAAGUCUGACGGAGCAACGCCGCGUGAGUGAAGAAAGGUUUUCGGAUCGUAAAACUCUGUUGUCAGAGAAGAACAAGUUGGAGAGUAACUGCUCCAGCCUUGACGGUAUCUGACCAGAAAGCCACGACUAACUACGUGCCAGCAGCCGC
rnacentral:rRNA from 1 species